UACGGGGGGAGCAAGCGUUGUUCGGAUUUACUGGGCGUAAAGGGCGCGUAGGCGGCACCGCAAGUCAGUUGUGAAAUCUCUGGGCUUAACCCAGAAAGGUCAACUGAUACUGGCGAGCUUGAGGGGAGCAGAGGAAGGUGGAAUUCCCGGUGUAGUGGUGAAAUGCGUAGAUAUCGGGAGGAACACCAGUGGCGAAGGCGGCCUUCUGGGCUCUACCUGACGCUGAGACGCGAAAGCGUGGGGAGCGAACCGG
rnacentral:rRNA from 1 species